ACUGAUAUGACUGCAUGUUCCAGGGUUGACUGGAGAUGACCUGGCGGUAAGGAGAGCUUUGGAGAGGCCACUAGGUUAGAUAAGGAAAGAAUUUAUGUAGUCUAGGACAAAGCAAUGAUGUUGAAAUUUAAGAGAAGGGACAGAAUUUGGGAAAUACUGCUAAAGUGACUGUGAAAAGAAUAUUGGUAGAGGGAAGGGAGAAAGGGGAGUGGAAAAGUUCAGGUUUUAGCUUAAGAAGACAAGGUACGAACAGUGCAGCAGGCAUUUGGAGACAUAAAG
rnacentral:lncRNA from 1 species